CGUCGGCGAGGCGGCGGCGGCACGCGACGAGCAGCAUCAUGCAGUAGAAGGUGAGCGCGGCGACGGAGAAGAGCAGCAGCGUCCCCGCCGCCCACCCGGUGUGCGAGAAGGUGUACGGCAGUCCCAGCACGCCGGCGCCCACCACCGCGAUGAAGACGUUGGCGAACGUCUUGGGCUGCGACGACAGGCCGACCUCGCGGCUCCCGCUGCCGUGGUGCGGCAGCAGCGGCGCCGGGUCCAGCCGCGACGACGAGGAGCUCGCCCCGUUAUUAUUCCCCAUUCCGAAUCCCAUGCCGAACCGCGC
rnacentral:lncRNA from 1 species